ACUCCUACGGGAGGCAGCAGUGGGGAAUAUUGCACAAUGGGCGCAAGCCUGAUGCAGCCAUGCCGCGUGUAUGAAGAAGGCCUUCGGGUUGUAAAGUACUUUCAGCAGUGAGGAAGGUGGGUAUGUUAAUAGCAUAUUCAUUUGACGUUAGCUGCAGAAGAAGCACCGGCUAACUCCGUGCCAGCAGCCGCGGUAAUACGGAGGGUGCGAGCGUUAAUCGGAAUUACUGGGCGUAAAGCGCAUGCAGGUGGUUUGUUAAGUCAGAUGUGAAAGCCCGGGGCUCAACCUCGGAAUUGCAUUUGAAACUGGCAAACUAGAGUACUGUAGAGGGGGGUAGAAUUUCAGGUGUAGCGGUGAAAUGCGUAGAGAUCUGAAGGAAUACCGGUGGCGAAGGCGGCCCCCUGGACAGAUACUGACACUCAGAUGCGAAAGCGUGGGGAGCAAACAGGAUUAGAUACCCUGGUAGGUCUGC
rnacentral:rRNA from 1 species